rnacentral:rRNA from 1 species
GACGAACGCUGGCGGCGUGCUUAACACAUGCAAGUCGAACGAGGCCCCGCCUUCGGGUGGGUGUUCUAGUGGCGAACGGGUGAGUAACACGUGGGCAACCUGCCCCCGGCUCUGGGAUAACUCCAAGAAAUUGGGGCUAAUACCGGAUAUGACCGCUGACCGCAUGGUCUGGUGGUGGAAAGUUUUUCGGCUGGGGAUGGGCCCGCGGCCUAUCAGCUUGUUGGUGGGGUAGUGGCCUACCAAGGCGACGACGGGUAGCCGGCCUGAGAGGGUGACCGGCCACACUGGGACUGAGACACGGCCCAGACUCCUACGGGAGGCAGCAGUGGGGAAUAUUGCGCAAUGGGCGGAAGCCUGACGCAGCGACGCCGCGUGGGGGAUGACGGCCUUCGGGUUGUAAACCUCUUUCAGCUGGGACGAAGCGAAAGUGACGGUACCUGCAGAAGAAGCACCGGCCAACUACGUGCCAGCCGCCGCUGUAACAC